rnacentral:rRNA from 1 species
GACGAACGCUGGCGGCGUGCUUAACACAUGCAAGUCGAACGGAAAGGCCCCUUUUGGGGUACUCGAGUGGCGAACGGGUGCGUAACACGUGAGUAACCUUCCCUUGACUUCGGGAUAACUUCCGGAAACUGGGGCUAAUACCGGCAAGGAAUCCUUGCUGCAUGGUGGGGGUUGGAAAGCUUCGGCGGUUUUGGAUGGACUGGCGGCGUAUCAGCUUGUUGGUGGGGUAGUGGCUUACCAAGGCUUUGACGGGUAGCCGGCCUGAGAGGGCGACCGGCCACAUUGGCACCGAGAGACGGCCCAGACUCGGACUGGAGGCAGCAGUGGGGAAGAUUGAACAAUGGGCGGAAGCCGGAUGCAGCAACGCCGCGGGCGGGAGGACGGCCUUCGGGGUGUAAACCGCUUUCAGCAGGGGCGAAGCUUGUGGUGACGGUACCUGCAGAAGAAGCACCGGCUAACUACGUG